rnacentral:lncRNA from 1 species
UCCCACAAUUACAUCACAAUCCCUCCUCUCUAUCCUGGAGAUAAUUGGGAAGUAAUCCAAUUAUGUCCCAUAAUUAGGACAGAGGCAAAACUCCAUUGAGCACAUGUUGGUAAAAAGACACAAAAAUACCCAAUGUUGCAAAUAAUGAAUAAAACACAUACAUUCUACAUAUCCCCAAACAGAUUAGAUCUGAGGGCACAUUAUUACCGAAUGGCGCUCAGAUCACAUACAUACAGUUCAAUCGCCAUGGAGCCAAAGUCUUUACUAUAGUCUUUCGUUACAUGAAUAGGCUCCAUGGCAUGGCUAUCUGGGGUGAUGCUGUUCAUACGGUUAAACUACUGAAUGAACAGGCAUUUGGUUAUACUUCCGAAUGCAGAGGUAAGGAGGCUGGCGGCUCAGCGGUGUUCGCACAAAUAAGUGUCCGUUUCCAGUCCCAUAGUUUGGGCGCUGAACACCGCUGGCCAUUCGGGAGUUAAAAUGGCCACCGCCACGUGUUCGGCAAACGAACAAAGGCCACCCAGAGUUCGUCAAUUAAGCUGCGGUUAACCGCAGCUUCUGGGCGGCCAAUUGACAGCACACUCCAGUUCCCAGGUGGUUGAUCGUUCAGUACUUUAUUCGGUAGAUUGAAUCUACCGAACACCCCAGCAGAAAGGCACGAAUAAGCCUUUCUGCAGGGAAAAUAAAAGGUUUUAAAUUCCGGGCCAUAGUCUAAAAGGAGCAGGUGAGCAACCAGGCUCCUCCAGUGCACAGUGGCGAGGUUGGUUCUGCCACAUUUCUCCCCUUUACCAAUCAGACUAACAGGAUAUCUGACCUCCUGUCGGUCAGUGCCCUGGUUAGUCCAGCAACCAACCCACGGAACACAAUGAGCAGUACAGCCCACGUACAAUAAAGGGUUACUACACCUGGGGUCGUGAGUCGCUUGUCCAUGUCCAGGAGAUCCACCUUGGCUCUGGGGGGUACUAGCACUCCAGAUCGGUGGGUUGCGGAGUGGGCAGAGACCAGCGGUUCUCUGCCCUGUUGCCCGCGCUACUAUGGGAGUAGCCUGGUUGGAGCCCAGUUGAGGGGAUGGUGUAGUAAGCUCUUCACUCCAGCCCUGGUACUGCUGCUGGCAGGGAAGACAGGCUGUCUCCCCUUUGGAUGAAUAGCCCUGCUGCUGGGGGACAGGACCGACCGAUCCCUAGCCCCUGUGAGGCAUGUGCAGAGACGACGGUCCCAUCUGCACUGGUGUGGGGCUUACCAUCUCCCCUUGGUGGGCUAGGCUGCCGUUGGGGAGAGGAGGUAACAAGCUUACACACUUUCUGUCGCUGGGGAGAGGGGGUGACAAGCCCUGACACUAUCCCUGCUGCUGGGGAGCGAGACCGACUGUCUCAUCUGCCUCCUCUGGGAGAAUAGGGUCUCCCCUUUGUGAAAUAAGCUGCCGCUGGGGAGGGGUGGUCACCGACUCCUCUCCCUAGAAUACUUUCAGCCGCUGGGGAGAGUGGGUAGCAGGCUCCUCUCCCUGACACUCUCUAUGCUGGUGGAGAGGGGGACCGACUGUCUCCCCUUUCAAUAUAUUGUCCUGCUGCUGGGGAGCGAGACCGACUGUCUCUGUUCCCUGCAGAACACUCUGCCACUGGGGAGGAAGGACGGUACCUUCAGCUCCCUGUAACACACACUGCCGCUGGGGAGGAAGGACGGCACCUUUGUCACGAAUAAGCCUUUCUGCAGGGAAAAUAAAAGGUUUUAAAUGCCGGGCCAUAGUCUAAAGGGAGCAGGCGAGCAACCAGGCUCCUCCAGUGCACAGUGGCGAGGUUGGUUCCACCACAGAAUAAUACAGUGUAAUGUGAUUGGUCGAAUCCUUGUGUUCUACCUGUAUUCCAUCCGAUCCAGAGGGGGCUGUCCCUGGACCUGGGGGCUUGCAUAGCCCGGUGCUGGAAAAAGGUACGUUUUUAACCCCGGAAGUGGGACCCCGAGGGUGGGGGGAACCUAAAGACCCUUUAGUGACAGGAUAAUUUGUCUGUUUUCCUGGCACUAUAGUGAUCCUUUAAGUAAAGCAAACUCACUUAUCUCACAGACACCUGUUGUUCCUAUGUUUUUGCUGGAGACCCGCUGUUGGGGGUCUGUGUAUAAACGUAGGCCAUUUGGUCGUAAUGAAAUGUUCCUGUUGUACCCUUAUCAAGUCUCGACUGAUGUUUGGUUAUGCGAUCGAUGAACCAAUUGAUUUCUCACAACCUGGUUGGACUCCGGCAGACUACGAAUUAGCGUAUUAUGCGAACGGGCUAUAAUUAUUAUUAUAUUAUUUAUAUAACGCCAGCAAAUUCCAUAGUGCUGUACAAUGGAUGGACAAUUCACAUUACCUUAGGAUUUCGGGAGAAUGCGAACAAAUGUACUAUAUGAAGUACAGAGGGUCGUCACAGAGUGUGAGUGCUAGUGUCAGUUAGUGUGAUUGUCAGUGAGUGUGAGUCAGUGUGAUUGUUAGGGAGUCAGUUAGUGGGUGUGAUUGUCAGUGAGUGUGUCUGAGUCAGUGUUAGUGUGAGAGUGUCAGUGUCUGAGAGUGUGUGAGUCAGUGAGAGUCUGUGUGAGAGUCAGUCAGUGUGAGUGUCAGUGUGUAAGAGAGUGAGUGACUCUCACUGACUCUCUCACACUCUCUUACACACACUCACACAGACUCACAUUCUCACUGACUCACACUCUCACUGACUCACUCAGAAUCACACUCUCACUGACUCUCACACUCAUACUCUCACUGACUCACUUACAGUGAGAGUCAGUUUGAAUGUGAGAGUCAGAGUGUGAGAGUCAGUGAGAGUGUGCUGGUCAAUCAGUGAGAGUGUCAGUCAGUCAGUCUGUGAGAGUCAGUGUUAAGACACCCCUGACACACAGGAGUGAAACCGCUGUUUAGUUAAGCUUCCCCUUUUCUCAAUAAUGCAGGCUCAAUUCAUGUAUACCUCAACCAUACGAACUGAAGUCAUGGGAAUGUGCUAAUUUCCCGAACAGGACCCGUACGGGUGCUCCAAACUCCCGAACAAUAAAUCCACGAAUCGCGGCUAACAGCCGAAUAAAUAUAUCCUCCAAGCGGCUUACGUUUCCAGCAAUCAGUCGCUAACCGUGUGUAGUAAAUCCCCCCAAUAACGAGACCAAACUCCGCAUUGAGGGUAAAACAAGAACUGGCUGUACUGUGGGCUACCCGCCCGUAUUUAUGCAGGUCUCCCACUUGGUGGACACUCCCCUAGGGGACCAAAUGGGAGACUGUAGUUACAGAAAGACAUAUAGCACUUUAGGACAUACAGGCACAGAAUAUUCCCACAAUGCAUCCUGGUUUCCUCCCCUCUGCCCUGGAGAUAAUUGAGAAGUAAUUCAAUUAUCUCCCAGGACAGAGGCAAAUCGCCAUUUUAAAUGAAACAUAAAAAACACAUAAAAAUAAAUAAUUAUACAACUACCGAACAUAUUACAUUCGUGCAACGUAUCCACAGAUAGCCUGGAUCUGAGUGCAUAUUCUUACCGAAUAGCGCUCAGAUCCCAUACGCACAGUUCAAUCGCCAUGCGGUUGACUCCAUGGGAUGGCUAUCUGGGUUAAGUCCAUUCGUGUAAUCCAAACUCCUGAACGGACCGGUGUUCGCAUGCCUUGACGAAUGAGAAGGGCGGUCUGUAGUCUCAGCGGUGUUCGGCAGAAAAAGUGUCCGUUUUUAGUUUCAUAGAAUCUGUGCCGAACACCGCUGGUCUUUCGCAUGGUUUAAAAUGGCCGCCGCCUUGUGGUCGGCAUACGAACGACUGCCACCCUGCAUUCGGUUAUAAUUGAGAGGUGUCUGCGGUUAACCACAACGUUCUAAUUGGGAUCAAGAGGUUAACCAGCAGCACACUUCUCUUCUGGGUGGCCGUCCGUUUGAUAAGUUCAUUCGGUAAAAAGUCAAAAAGACGAAUAGGGGUAUACGGACAGGUAAUUCCGCGAAGGGGAGGCAAACUAGACGAACCAGCAAUAUUAGUCCUACAGAUGAAUCUGUCACCAUUCGUAUGAAGAACAGACUUUGUGAACACUUUAACUCCACGGCGAUUGGACUGUGUGCAUAGGAUCUGAGCGCUAUUCGGUACUUUUGUGCACUCAGAUCUAAGCUAUCUUGGGAUAGGUAGAAUGUAUAUGUUUUGUGCAAAAGUUGGAACUUUAUACAUUUUUAUGUCUUUUACUGUCUUUUACUGCCAUGUGGUUAAUGGAGUUUUGCCUCUGUCCUGGAUGAUAAUUGGAUUACUUCCCAAUUAUCUCCAGGACAGAGGGAGGGAAGUUAGGAUGCAUUGUGGGUAUGUUUUACCUCUGUGUGUCUGUCAUUGGUUCAUGUCUGUCCUUUGUCACAGUCUCCUAUUUGGUCCCCUAGGGGAGUGUCCACCAGGUGGGAGACCUGCAUAAAUACUGGGUAGGUAGCCCUCAUUAAACCAGACCACUGCUUGACCCUCAACAUGGAGCUCUGUCUCAUCUUUGGGGGAUUUACUGUAUGCUGAUAGAGACUGAUUGCUAGGAGUGUAAGCCGCUUGGGUGCUUUUCCUAUUCGUCUGCUAGCAGUUAUUCGUGAGGCUCCAGUUCGGGAGUUUGGAGUGCUAUUUUGUAUGAAGUUCGGGAGUUUGGAGCAUUCCGUUGUAUCCAUUUCGGGAGUUUGGUGUUCUACAGUAGCUGUGCCUGUCUCUGGAAGGGGAAGAUCUUCUAAACGGCGGUUUAACCCUUUUAUGCCUGGGGGUGCCGUUACAGUCAGUAUAUCAGUCAGUCAGUAUGUCAGUCAGUCAGUAUAUCAGUCAGUAUCUCGGUCUCAGUCAGUAUAUCAGUCAGUAUAUCAGUCAGUCUGUCAGUGUAAAGGAUCCUUCUAUUCGUGCAGCGAUGAUCCUUGCAGCUUCUCCCGAAAUCCAGCUGAAACAAAGUGAUUAUAACUCCCAAUCCCCCAAACAUGAGUCGAGACUUCAUGAAGGGGUAAAACGAUCUGAUUUACUGUGGGCUACCCGCCCGGUAUUUAAGCAGGUCUCCCACCUGGUGGACACUCCCCUAGGGGACCAGAUGGAAGACUGGGACAAAAGUAUCACAGUAGCCAAUCACAGUGGCUAUAGCAUAAGCAAUCCCCUUUUACAUAAAUCAUUCCCUCUUUUCCAUCCUGGAGAUAAUUAACUUAAGGUAGCAAAGAGAGCCUUAAUUAUCUCCAGGUAGAAAGAAACAUGGCUUUUCUUAUUUUAGCAAAACAGCGUAAAAAUCUAUAACUUUCCUUUUAAAUAACAUAAACUUUAAGUCCCACAUAUCCCCAGAUAGCUUGGAUCUGAGUGCAUAUUCUAGGCGAAUAACGCUCAGAUCCCACGAACACAGUUCUCAGAAACGUCGACUGAAGUUUGACUUUCGCCAGCCGUUCGUGUGUUUGUAGCCGACUACAAGUUCCAUACUGUAGCUAUCUGGGGUCGGUCACUUUCGCAUACUUCCUGCGCACGAAUGAAGUAGUAUCCCCUUCAUUCGUGUGUUUUUCCACCGUACGAACAAGGAUGUGAAGAGGUAGCAGCAGUGUUCGACAAAAUAAGUAGCCGAAAUUAGUUCCAGGGAAUCCUCGCCAUUUACCGCUGAGCGUUCGACAAUACAAAAUGGCGAUUGCCACGUGUUCGGUAAACGAACGUGGACCACCAGCUAUUCCCCAAUUAGUCUGUGGUUAACCGCAACAGUCUGGGUGGUUAAUAGGCGCUACACGACCUCAGUGGGAGGUCGGUGGUUCGGUAGUUCAUUCGCUUUUCUCGCUAUUUCACGAAAUCCCGUUGUAAUCAUCCAAAUAACCAAACAGGCUGGUUCGCAUGGUCUGUUUAAUAAGGGAUUUCGUUACAGUCAGUCAGUCAGUCAGUAUAUCAGUCAGUCUGUCAGUAUAUCAGACAGAAUCUCAGUCAGUCAGUCAGAAUCUCAGUCAGUCAGUGUGACGAAAUGCCUUUUGUCCCUGGAUUGUUAGGUGACAAGCUGCCCUUUGCCCCCAGCUUUUGGAGGAGCCUGAUUGCCAGCCUCCUUCCUCAUGACUAUGGCCCUGGGGUGUAUUGCCAUUUAAAAAAGACUAUUUGGGGCUUAUUGGCUUCUAAAGACAGUUUCUGCCCAUUUUAAUCCAUGGGAAGGUGUGUUUCUUCCCCUCCCCCAUUUCCUGUCUAUUGUUCUCCAGCAGGGCGUUGUCCCAGGCACACUGCCAAACCAGUUGGAACUGACUGCUUUUGUCCCUCCUUGGUUUCUCAACAGCCCUUGCUAUGCUUUACCCCAUGGCAAAUUUACUCUGUUCAUGGGAUCUGAGCACUGUUCACCUAGAUUGGGCACUCAGAUCCGAGCUAUCUGGGGAUAGGUUAAAGGUGGGGGUUCUGUGUAAUAAAAUAAGAAUUAUGUAUUUUUAUGUACUUUUACGUAUUUUUGCGGUUAGUGUAAAAUGUAGAUAUUUUCUGUACCUGGAGAUAAUUGAGUUUACUGCAGUGCCUUAAGCCAAUUAUCUCCAGGAUGGAGAGGAGGGAUUUCAUUGUGAAUGUGAGAGUGUUGUUAUGUUAAUUAGUGUUCCCAUUGGUUUGUGUCCCUUUUGUCACAGUUUACCACCAGGUCCAGGGGGUGUGCCUCUGGCCUGAAAACUUGUAUAUAAGGAGUAAUAAACGCUCAUUGGAGUCAGAUCAUCUUGUACCUUCAUGCAGUUUUCGGCUCAUGUUUGGGGGAUUGGAGAAACUACACUCUGGGGAUUGCUAUAAUCACUAUACUCCCCAGGGUAUAAUCACUAAGCUCUGCUAAGAGCUUGUUCCUGUUCCUGCUCUCUGGAAUUUGGAGAGAUUGACCUACUGGAAGCUGGAACCUGGUCUUGGGUCCAGAGUGGGUGGAGACGGCGAGACCCCAACCAAGCUGAGACGCCGGUUCGUGGGGUCUGCAGUGGUUGUGGUGUCGGGCAGAGUGCUUGGAGUCCUCGGAAAGCACCAGGAGCAUCCGUCGGCGGAAGGUACCCGGUCGGUGUGCCAGCGGUUCCGUUACAGUCAGUAUAUCAGUCAGUCAGUCAGUAUAUCAGUCUGUCAGUCAGUAUAUCAGUCUGUCAGUCAGUCAGUAUAUCAGUGUGACGAAGUGCCCUUCACCACUUGUGCCUGGAGAGGACUGCUUGCCCGCCUCUUGCCCUGUGACUAUUGACCCUGGGAGAUUUGGCCCGUUCAAUUCAGUAUGAUAGGAGUUAUGUAUUUUUGUAUCCUUUUGUGUUUUACUGGGAACAUGUGCUCAAUGGAGUCUGUGAAUGUGAUGUAUAUUUUAGAAGUUAUGAAUGCUGUAAAAACUGUAUUAUUUCUGGCCAGCAGAUAAUUGAGCUUUGUGUAUUGUAGAAACUCAAUUAUCUAGCCUGGCCCAGAGGAGGAG